GAUCUUGACCCUGGUGAUGGUACCUUGUUCUCAAACAAGAGCCUUUGCUGGCUUCAUUAGUUUCUCUUGCAUGCAGUGAAUGAGGCUUGACUACCAAAGGCCUGCUACUGGACUACAAGAGUGCAUGUGAAGCGAUUGUUUGAUGGAAUUGUUGGACCUAGAAUACUGAAUUUGAGGAUGCUCCAAGGUAUCCAUCUGCCC